CAGCAGCCGCCGCGGGAAUACAGAGGGUGCGAGCGUUAAUCGGAUUUACUGGGCGUAAAGCGUGCGUAGGCGGCUUUUUAAGUCGGAUGUGAAAUCCCUGAGCUUAACUUAGGAAUUGCAUUCGAUACUGGGAAGCUAGAGUAUGGGAGAGGAUGGUAGAAUUCCAGGUGUAGCGGUGAAAUGCGUAGAGAUCUGGAGGAAUACCGAUGGCGAAGGCAGCCAUCUGGCCUAAUACUGACGCUGAGGUACGAAAGCAUGGGGAGCAAACAGGAUUAGAUACCCCCGUAGUCCCUGUCUCUUAUAC
rnacentral:rRNA from 1 species